AUUGAACGCUGGCGGCAGGCCUAACACAUGCAAGUCGAGCGGAUGAAGGGAGCUUGCUCCUGGAUUCAGCGGCGGACGGGUGAGUAAUUCCUAGGAAUCUGCCUGGUAGUGGGGGAUAACGUCCGGAAACGGGCGCUAAUACCGCAUACGUCCUGAGGUAGAAAGUGUGGGAUCUUCGGACCUCACGCUAUCAGAUGAGCCUAGGUCGGAUUAGCUAGUUGGUGGGGUAAAGGCCUACCAAGGCGACGAUCCGUAACUGGUCUGAGAGGAUGAUCAGUCACACUGGAACUGAGACACGGUCCAGACUCCUACGGGAGGCAGCAGUGGGGAAUAUUGGACAAUGGGCGAAAGCCUGAUCCAGCCAUGCCGCGUGUGUGAAGAAGGUCUUCGGAUUGUAAAGCACUUUAAGUUGGGAGGAAGGGCAGUAAGUUAAUACCUUGCUGUUUUGACGUUACCAACAGAAUAAGCACCGGCUAACUUCGUG
rnacentral:rRNA from 1 species